CAGUCGCCGCGGUAAUACGUAGGGUGCGAGCGUUAAUCGGAAUUACUGGGCGUAAGCGUGCGCAGGCGGUUGUGUAAGACAGGUGUGAAAUCCCCGGGCUUAACCUGGGAACUGCGCAUGUGACUGCACAGCUAGAGUAUGGCAGAGGGGGGUGGAAUUCCACGUGUAGCAGCGAAAUGCGUAGAUAUCGGGAGGAACACCUGUGGCGAAAGCGGCUCACUGGACCACAACUGACGCUGAGGCACGAAAGCUAGGGGAGCAAACAGGAUUAGAUACCCCGGUAGUCCCUGUCUCUUAUACA
rnacentral:rRNA from 1 species